UGUAGUAGCGACCAGGAGAAGAACAAGAAAAAAAACCCUAGUUCUUCCAUAAAUCAUCAAAUUGGAAGGGGAAUUGAAGCUCAAAUUCAGGUCUGAAAGUAUAUUAAUGAUCACCAAAUCAUGAGAAUCAUGAGUUUGACGCUUAACGAGCUAGGUGGAGGAUUGGGAAAGAAGCGGGUCAAACGGAUCGGGUACGCGGAAAAGAGCAUAACCGGAUGCAAGAUCAAGCGGCGUACAAGAACCGAACAAACGAGAUUAAAGCUUCCGCACGUUGUUUCGUCGUCAUUUUAAACGCCGAAUCCGUAUAUAUUAAAUUGUAUUAUUCUCAAGUUGUAAAAGUUUUAAUUUACCCGUAUAUUAAGCGAGUAUGUAACCAUAAUUACAUAUUUAUUUUCGUAAACUUUACGAAAAAUCUUAAUUAAUAGAAAGGGUGUUACAGUGGUGGGUUUGAA